CAGCAGCCGCGGUAAUACGUAGGGUGCAAGCGUUGUCCGGAAUUAUUGGGCGUAAAGAGCUCGUAGGCGGUUUGUCGCGUCUGCUGUGAAAACUGGAGGCUCAACCUCCAGCCUGCAGUGGGUACGGGCAGACUAGAGUGCGGUAGGGGAGAUUGGAAUUCCUGGUGUAGCGGUGGAAUGCGCAGAUAUCAGGAGGAACACCGAUGGCGAAGGCAGAUCUCUGGGCCGUAACUGACGCUGAGGAGCGAAAGCGUGGGGAGCGAACAGGAUUAGAUACCCGCGUAGUCCCUGUCUCUUAUAC
rnacentral:rRNA from 1 species